rnacentral:rRNA from 1 species
CCUACGGGUGGCUGCAGUGAGGAAUAUUGGUCAAUGGGCGAGAGCCUGAACCAGCCAAGUCGCGUGAAGGAUGACGGCCCUACGGGUUGUAAACUUCUUUUGUCAGGGAGCAAUUGAGUCCACGUGUGGGCUUAGCGAGAGUACCUGAAGAAAAAGCAUCGGCUAACUCCUUGCCAGCAGCCGCGGUAAUACGGAGGAUGCGAGCGUUAUCCGGAUUUAUUGGGUUUAAAGGGUGCGUAGGCGGAAUAUCAAGGCAGCGGUAAAAAUUUGGGGCUCAACCCCGUCGUGCCGUUGAAACGGAUGGUUGUGAGUGGGCGAGAAGGAUGCGGAAUGCGUGGUGUAGGGGUGAAAUGCAUAGAUAUCACGCAGAACUCCGAUUGCGAAGGCAGCAUACCGGCGCCCAACUGACGCUGAAGCACGAAAGCGUGGGUAUCGAACAGGAUUAGAUAACCUAGUAGUC